AUCAUGAUAUUUGUCUUUCUCUGCCUGACUUAUGAAGGCAUUUUUGAUUGUCAUGACUUGUGAGGUGCUACUGGCCAGGCUGCUUCUAAACGUCCUACAAUGCACAGGAUAGCCCUUCUCAACAAAGAAUUAUCUAGUUGAAAAUGUCGAUGGUGUCAAGGUUGAAAAACUCUGAGCUCAAAAUGUUCAUAUUUCCUUAACUCAUCUGUCCAACUAUGGUAAGGAAGGUGAGCCCAGCUGAUGAUACUAAUUAGAGCUCUAACUGCUCUGCGAGGGGAAUGAACCGGUGAGACAGAACCCACCCCACCCUCACCUAGAUAGAAUGGGGGAAGAAUGCGGGAGGAAGAGCAGCAGAGGAGCAAGCCUUGCUUUAAUGGACAGGGAUGGGGGUGGAGGGGACAGUCUGAAAAGUAUGAGCCUUGUUAGAUGCUGCAUGUGAUCCUGACAGAGUCCCCUGGCUUUCCACAGGGGAAAGCUGGUGACCCCACAGCUGAGCCAUGCUCCAGAAAGUGUCUCCAACACCUGCUGAGUGACGCCCAUCCCAGGGAGAAGAAGGCUGCUGGCCUUUGCAUCAUCGUCUCAGAAUACCGAAAGAAGUUGAUUUUGACAAUUUUUGCCAGUGUUCUCAUGCUUUUAUGAAGGAGUGGGUUUUCAGAGAUUCUUAUUCUUCUAUUCCAGAAGUGCUGCUAAUUCACUUACAUUAAAUGCAUUUAUUUUUA